rnacentral:rRNA from 1 species
AUGAACGCUGGCGGCGUGCUUAACACAUGCAAGUCGAACGAAGCACCUCUCCCGAAGCUUGACACAGCUUGCUGUAGAUUGAUUCAUUUGAGGUGACUGAGUGGCGGACGGGUGAGUAACGCGUGGGUAACCUGCCUCAUAGAGGGGGACAACAGUUGGAAACGACUGCUAAUCCCGCAUAGUAAGAAGAAUUCGCAUGUUUUCUUCUUGAAAGAUUUAUCGCUAUGAGAUGGACCCGCGUCUGAUUAGCUAGUUGGUAAGGUAACGGCUUACCAAGGCGACGAUCAGUAGCCGGCUUGAGAGAGUGAACGGCCACAUUGGGACUGAGACACGGCCCAAACUCCUACGGGAGGCAGCAGUGGGGAAUAUUGCACAAUGGGGGAAACCCUGAUGCAGCGACGCCGCGUGAGUGAAGAAGUAUUUCGGUAUGUAAAGCUCUAUCAGCAGGGAAGAUAAUGACGGUACCUGACUAAGAAGCCCCGGCUAACUACGUG